rnacentral:rRNA from 1 species
CCUACGGGUGGCAGCAGUGGGGAAUAUUGGACAAUGGGGGCAACCCUGAUCCAGCCAUGCCGCGUGUGUGAAGAAGGCCCUCGGGUUGUAAAGCACUUUCAGUGAGGAAGAACGCCUGGUGGUUAAUACCCAUCAGGAAAGACAUCACUCACAGAAGAAGCACCGGCUAACUCCGUGCCAGCAGCCGCGGUAAUACGGAGGGUGCGAGCGUUAAUCGGAAUUACUGGGCGUAAAGCGCGCGUAGGUGGCUUGAUAAGCCGGUUGUGAAAGCCCCGGGCUCAACCUGGGAACGGCAUCCGGAACUGUCAAGCUAGAGUGCAGGAGAGGAAGGUAGAAUUCCCGGUGCAGCGGUGAAAUGCGUAGAGAUCGGGAGGAAUACCAGUGGCGAAGGCGGCCUUCUGGACUGACACUGACACUGAGGUGCGAAAGCGUGGGUAGCAAACAGGAUUAGAUACCCGUGUAGUC